UACGUAGGGUGCGAGCGUUAAUCGGAAUUACUGGGCGUAAAGCGUGCGCAGGCGGUUUUGUAAGUCAGAUGUGAAAUCCCCGGGCUCAACCUGGGAACUGCAUUUGAGACUGCAAGGCUAGAGUGUGGCAGAGGGGGGUGGAAUUCCACGUGUAGCAGUGAAAUGCGUAGAGAUGUGGAGGAACACCGAUGGCGAAGGCAGCCCCCUGGGAUAAUAUUGACGCUCAUGCACGAAAGCGUGGGGAGCAAAC
rnacentral:rRNA from 1 species